GAGAGGAGAGAGAGCCUGGCCAGCGCCGGUUUCUUUCACACCUAUUUACAUGGACACCUUGGCCAAUAGGAAUCACUUCCAGCAGAAGACUAGGCGACCAGGAAGAGCCUCUGCCGCCCGCGGGGAGCGGGCAGCGCCCGCCGGUGUGCGCGUUGGGAAGGUAUGAGCGGAGCGGCGCGUGGAGCCGAAUGGCAGGCGACCACUCACUCUCUGAGCUAUCUGCGGCGCCGGUGGUGUUUGACAUGGAAAUUGCUCGGCUGGGGUAUUCUGUUUCCUCUGCAUUGUGUCGGGGAGACCAGGAGGGCUGGGGACCUUGGUAAAGGCAAGAAGAGAAGUGUUGUGGACAUGUUUAGCAAAACAGCUGACAAAGGACGCUGCUUAGUAUGGAAGUCAGGAGUUCCCCGGUGCGAUUUUCUCCAGGAUCAGAGCACAUUUGCACAAACACAUGAAGAGGAGAAAGAAACUCCUAGCAAUUUUUCUCUAGCACUCUCUUCUCAGUAUGCCUUGCUCAUCUUCAGAAGGCACUGUCACUGCCUGUGACACCAUGGCUGAUAGACUGCCUGGGGCACACCCACUUUCCCAUCCACUUGUCCAGAUUCAACUUUAGAUCCGAGCGCACUUGCACACCAUCUUCCUGAGGUCACAGGAGUUUCUCAUUCUCGGUUCUGAACUCUUGUGCUUUUGUGUUUUACUCAGAUCUGGAAUACUCCAAAAGCUCAGACCUUGGAACUCACCCCAUAGACCAGGCAACCCGGAACCAUUCAGGAAUGGUGCACACACUUCACCCCAGAGCCCUAGCAUAGCAGAACAGGACCAGCCAUCUCAAAGUCAUGAAGAAAUAAUGUCACCGGUUGGGCAUGGUGGUGCACACCUUUAAUCCCAGCACUUGAGAGGCAGAGGCAUGUGGAGUCUGUGAAUUCAAGGCUAGCCUGGUCUAUGGAAUGAGUUCUAGGACAGCCAAGGAUACACAAAGAAACCGUGUCUCCAAAAAGACACAAAAUAAUAGUAGUAAAUAAUAUUAUUAAUAAUAAUAAUACAUUGAGUGUGCUUGAAGUAAUAUUUACUUCCUUUAAUAAUCCUAUUACUGAAUCCCCUAAUGAAUAUUUACUUAACAGAUCCUGUGUGCGAAGUGCUGUGUUCCUGAGCUAAACCUGACAGUCCCUGCUCUCACAAAGACUUGUGGUCCCAGCAGUAAAAGCACAGUCAGGCUAGUUCGUGAGGACAUCCUCAAGAUGGACCAUAGAACCUGCAUCAGACCAAAAGCGCAUCACCGCUGGCCCCUACCACCACCAACGCCAUUUGCUUGUUGAUUCCUGAGUUUGACGUAAUGAACGUAUCGACAAUUCGUAGCUGAUGCUGUCUAUCCAUCUCACAUGUCUCCUGGGUUGUCUGGGCUCUUCCACUCCAGUGAGUCUCCGCUCUGUUUUGUCUAAUGUGUCUCAGCCAAAGAGGAGCGAACAAAAUAUUAGGUAACUCACACAGCAUCUGCCAAACAAAUAUGUGUUGAUGGAUCUGAUGGUAAAAAUUUUAAGGAAGUAUUUCUUGAAAGCUGUGCACCAUUUCUUGAAUGACUUUGGGUUGGCUGGCCGUCUUUCCUACGAUGUCAUUGCUCUGGUCUGGGCUUCAGGACCUAUGCUUUAGGACUACUCCGUGCCAUGACUGUGGCUCGUCCCUUACAAGUGUGUGAGCUUGCUCAGUUCCAGAAUAGGCAAACUCAAUGGCGUCCCUCUAAACCUUGCCGUAGUCUUUUUCCCGAAGCCUAAGUAUUUUGGGGGGUGGGGGGACUGUUGAUAGCUACAACCUCAGGUCCAUGUCUGUCUCUGCUCCAGAGCCUUUCCAUGAUGGCUGGGUGCACAGCGAGGAGGGUUCCGUAGCCUCGGGAUCAGUAUCUUUCUGAAUCCCGUCUCUGCACAGCUCUCCUGUGGCUGGCUUGAGCGCACUGCCUCCUGACUGUUCCAGGUUUUAAAAGGAUCUGCACACACCCCCCACAUUCAACUUUAUUUUCUCUCCCACCUUCCUCUACUCUUUAGCUUGUAAUUAGCCACUUCCCCCCUCACAGGUUUAAAGGCUGCUUAUUUGAAAUUCAUCAGCGAGUGACUCCCAUGAGAGUCACCCUCAAUUACAAAUUGAAGACUAAUUGUAUGGUGAUGGCCACGGCUGGAAGACGCUCGACAGUAAUCGUGUCUAAAUUAACUCUUGCCUCUGACUAAACACUAAGUUAAGGCUUUAAAAUGGGCCAUGAUUCACAGUAGCAAAUACGGCAGUUGGUGUGCCGGGGAAUGAUACUUACAUAGUAUUUUUAAAAAUUCCUUUUUAUUUUCUUUUGAACUCUGGACUACUUUUAAAAUUCACUUAAUGGAAAAAGAGCAGGUUGUUUCCUUUACCAUGAAAAUUUGUCAGGUAAAUUUAUUUUUUCUAUGAUUAUCGCUAUAUUGUGUUCUUAAGAUGAAAUUGCUGAAAAGCUUAAUGUACAAGUCUCACACGGACAUGCGGUAUUUUUAAAUGAUAUUUUGGCAAUUUUUUGAGAAUUUCAUAUGUACAUACAAUGUAUUUUGAUCAUAUUCACCCCCCAUGACUGCUUUGUAACUCCUCCUGGGUCUACCCUCUACUUCCCCUCAACUGGAUGUCCACAUAUGUACAUGUAUUUAUGUGUAUACAUGUUUGUGUGUAUGUGUGUAUGUAUAUAUGUAUGGAAUAUGUCACUGAGUCCAGUUUUUGAUGCCUAUAUACCCAGGCCUUCAUGCCAGCAAGGCAAGACCUUACCAAGUGAGUCCUUUCCCCAACCUGAUCUCCUUUAGUUUGCAUUUCUACACAGCCAUUGCCACAGCAAGCACUCGGUGACAGGCAGCAAGCUUUGGAGACCUGUUUAGAAGUUAGCUUGAGAUGGCAGGAAGACACACCAUUGUGUUCGCACAGGAGGGGAGGCCCAGCAAUAAAGGAGGCAGGGGCAGAGUAUAUAGGAACCACUGAACACAUGGCACCCCCAGACAGCAACUGAGGACCCAUCCCUUUGCAGUCAUUAUUUUCCGGACACCCCACAAAAGAUUUGAAGUAAAGGUUCCUAUGCUUGACAAAUAGUUAAGCACAAUUUGGAAGUGACAUUAGAAACAUGGUUUGGUCUUCUAUCUAGAUAAAGAGUCAGGACAAACUCCUCCUGAGCCAGGCUGGGUGGUGGUGCACACCUUUAGUCCCAGCACCUGGGAGGCAGAGGCAGGUGAAUUUGAGGCCACAUAGCAAUUCCAGGACAGCCAGGACUAUAUGGAGAUACUCUGUCUCAAAGAACCAGAGAGAGAGGAAGAGGGAGAAAGGAGAGAGAUCAAGCUAGCUCUGAUUUUAAGUAUAAAUGUAAAAGUAAUGUAAAAGUUUUCUAACAUCUUCUUUUGACCUUUUCCAAGUGCUCAAGAAAAAGGAAGCCAUGAACUGGUCUUCCCCGAAGAACAGGCGAGGACUGAGCUCAUUCUGCUUGCUGUUUCUACCGCUGGGUUGAAAGGCAAGGGCACAUCUGCCUUCCCUGGAGUGUCUGCUUACAGCACACAGUGGCUUACAACAGGCUGGCCUUAAAGACAGAUCGGGUCCUAAGUGCAAACCAAAAGGAGACAGGCAAGAGACAUUAAGAAGUAAACACUUUACCUUGUGAAGUUCAGAUUCAGGUUGGAAAUAGGUUCCCCACCCCAGGGCUCUCUCUGGUACCCUGCUUGUCCUCUCUUCCUGCUUCUCCCUCAGAUCACUUUCCUAGGUCCUGCCACUGCAGGGUGACCCUUAAAGACUGGAAAGGGAAAGAGGAGCUAGCAGAGAUGGAAGUGGAGGUCCAACCCCAGCCUUGAAAUGACUGUGACCCAUACAGAGCUGCUGAAUGGUAAAGCAGAACCUCUCCUGCCUGGGCACCUCUGCCCCAGUGCCUCAAGUGGAGCUGCCCCUGAGUGUUACGUCUGCCGCUCACUGUGCACAGAUGAUUGGAAAACUGCAGAAGAAUAAGAGUCACCCAGAACUCUACACAGAGAAGAAGUUCAAAAUACUGAUAGUUCAAUUCCCCUUCUGUCCUUUUCCAUUUUUUUUAUUGAUUUUGCAUGGAGCCCAGGCUUGACUCAAACUGUGCAGCCAAGGAUGAGUUUGAAUUUCUGAUCCUCCUUGUCUACAAGUCUAAGGCGCAGGAAUGACAGGCAUGGACCACCACAGCUAGCUUCUGUCUUUCCUUUUCAUAAACUGUAUUUUCCUCAUAGCAUAUUAGAGGCUACAGAUGUAGCUUAAGCUUAACCUUAUAAUAUGCAUUUUGUUAUAAUCAUGCAAAUUUAUAGAUAUGUUUAACAUAAUAUCAUUUCAUAUAAUGAUAUUAAUAGUUAUGUGUACACAUAUUUUUUUAAGAUGUAUUAAACGACUGGAUACAUGAUGUUUCAAUUAGUGGAACUCAGGCUAAUGCUAAUGUUACAACUAAUAUUUCAUCAAUAAAUAUUUUUAGGUGUUUAAGAUAA